UUUUUUUUUGUAAUUAGAAAUUAUACCUUUAAAAAUCUCUAAAUUUCUGGGAAACUAAAACUGAAAGAAUGACAGUGAGACCAUGCACAAAAUAGAAAAAAGAGAAAAUUACUUGCAAUGACUAUAAUUUUGAACUUCUUGAAAUUUAGCACUUCAAUAUUAGUUCAGUAAAAUCUGUAUUAUAUUUUGCAAGUGCUAGGUACUUUCAAUUUUAAUUUUAUGUGUGGUCAACUAACAUGUGAAAAUACAUGGCUGUGCUUUGGUCAAGGAUAGGCUGAGGUAGGAUGUUUACAUCCUGCGUGACUCAAUGAGUCUAGAGCGCAAGAAUAUAACUCCACUUGUUAACAUAACCAUGUAGACAUAACAUAGAGAAGUUCACCACCAUAGCCACAACAUGGGGAACACCAUCACUUGUCUCUAAGCCACUAUUGUCUGUAAAAGGUAUAAUUGUCCUGUUGACACUGUACAGGGGUACUGGCCCCCAGAGAAAGAGACAGUCAGAGUUGUCUGUGUUUGCAUACGGACAGAGGGGAGCCAGGACACAGCUCAGCUUGAUCAUGCCCAGAGAGAGAAAGAGUUAAGCUUCUGACCCUGAAGGCAAGGGAGAGCCGGCCAUGCAGCUGUGUGUGGGGGCCACCUGACUAAGCAGCUAAGACAGGGCAGAUAGUGUGAGAGAAAGCUGUUGAUGACAGCUGCUGCUGAAUAAAAUCAUUUUUCACCUGCCUACGCCCCACCCCGAGUGUUCUUUCUGCUCAUCUACGUGCUCCCUCAGGACUUCAACAUGACCUUUGGUGUAAUUGUGAACCUGACAACAUGAUAGAAAAAUUCACAGGACAAAACUGAUGAAUUUGCAUUAUUUCACAAAGAGUUCUGUGUAGAUAACUCUUAAAAUUUAUCAACAAACAAUACACACACACAACUUGCUAAUAAGUAUGAUCAAAGAUCGAAGUGUGUUCUUUUUAUGAAUCUAAAAGUAAACCAAAAUGUGAAACUAAAGGUUUUAGAGUUAAAGUAACUCAGAUAUCCUCAUCACCUGUGAACCGGAUAUAAAACUUCAGAAAGUCUCAUAACUUUUCACUUUCAGGAUUGUGUUCCAGAUGGCUCUUCUGUCCUCCCAUUAAACAGGGAGAUUGCAGAAUGCAGGCCGUCAACUGCACAAAGUAUUUGUUGUUGUUGUUAUUUGUCCACUGAUGUAUGUUUGGAUAGAGUGCGCUUGUUUUAUGUACAAUUGGGGAGCAGAUGUAGGUUAUAGUAGCUCCUUGACCCAAACCCUUAGUAACUUGCUAAUGCAUGUUUGGUUAUUUGGGUAUGGUAUGGGCAUCGGCAUCAUAUAUUUGUGCAGAGUAUAUAAGGACAUGAUUUCUAUUCUGGGUAUAGUGUAUAACAAAUAUAUACUUUCUAGUCUUCUGAGUCAUUCAUCUUCUAAUCAAGAUCCAUUCACCAAAGUAUUUUCAGGCAUUCCUACACAGUCUUGCCUGGGGAAUGCUGCUGGGUCUGGGGUUUGAGUUCUAUUUAUAAAGCACGUGGUGAAACCACCUAAAACGACAACAAGUGGGGUUUCACUAAGUUUACAGAUUAUAUCUUAUAAAAUGUUUUGUGACUGCUUGUCAAUUUGUAUAUAAUAAAUAUCUCUAUGAGGUGCAGAAUUUGGCGUCAGACUUAGUUUCAUGUAAUCUGCUAUUGAGGUUGUGGAAUAGAGUAGCUAAUAUUUUCCACAUCAUGUUUUUGACAGCUAAUGCAACCAAUCACUACAAAAUAUAGCCUCAUUUUUGCAUAAUUAAGUUGAUUUAAAUCAAUUCACAAGAAAAAUUGAAUAGUUUAUUCGUGGGAAUAAAUUAUUGAAAGGAACCCAAACACCCUAACAAUAAAUACAAAAGUCAGUGAACCCAUGAAAGCAUGACAGACAAAAUAAUGAAUAAUCAUCUUCUUCUGAGCAAGGAUCUUAGAAUUUUAAAAAUAUAAAAAUUCGAGCAAAGUCAGUCAAAUGUUCUCUUUACCCCCAAAUAUUCUACAUUGCACUCUCCAAUUUUGUGUAAUACUAGGAAAGAAGUAUUUCUUCAAUACAAUUCAUUUACAUGGAUUUCUUUUUUUAAAAAAGAGGGAGUCUCACUUUGCUGCCCAGGCUGGAGGGCAGUAGCAGGAUCACAGUUCACUGCAGGUAUGAACUCCUGGGAUUGAGGAAUCCCCCAGCUUCAACCUCCCAAGUAGCUGGAAGUAAGGCUUUCCACUACUUUAAAUAAGAGCAAAACUGAAAGCCAUUCUUCUCUAAAGGUUCAUAGGUGAAGGAACUUGCCUUGUCUCAGUUGAGGCUUUGGACUUGGACUUUUGAGUUAAUGCUGGAAUGACUUAAGAGUGUGGAGGACAGUUGGGAAAGCAUGAUUGUGUUUUGAAAUGUGAGAAGAACAUGAGAUUUGGGAGGAGACAGGAAUGGAGUGAUAUUAUUUGGCUCUAUGUUGCUACUCAAAUCUCAUGUAAAAUUGUAAUUCACAAUGGUGGGGGAGGAACCUGGUGGGCAGUGAUUGACUCAUGGGGGGGAUUUUCCCCUUGCUGUUCUCAUGAUAAUGAGUGAGUUCUCAUGAGAUCUUGUUGUGUAAAAGUGUGUAGCACUUCCCCUUUGCUUUUUCUCUCUCUCCUGCUCCAACUUGGUGAGAUGUGCUUACCUCCCUUUUGCCUUUCACCAUGAUUGUAUCUUUCCUGGGGCCUUUCAGCCAUUCUUUCUGUACAGCCUGCAGAACUGCGAGGCAAUUAAACCUCCUUUCUUCAUAAAUUACUCAGUCUCAGGUAGUUCUUCACAGCACUGUGAAAAUGGACUAAUGCAGUCUCUCAAGGUCCUCACUUCAGGAUCUGACCCUGAGAUAGGCCAGUCUUUUGUUAGAAUGUUAGAACAGGGAGAUAGCUUGACAUGAGCAAGAGGAAAAGCCUCUGAAAAAAUGAAGUAAGAAAUAUUUCACACCCCAGAGACCAUCCAAAAUAUGCAGGCUAUAUAUAAUCAGGGAGGAGGGGAAACACCUGUGCAGAAAGAAAUGCCCUUUAAGAUGACCAGUAAUUGCUCAUUCUGCAGUUAACCUAGCUAGCUACAGGCUGUCAAAAAGGAAAGGAGUGCCAAGGAGAAACUCCUAAGAGAUAUGCAGGCACAAUAAGUACAGAUUCAACUGCAAUACAACCUUCCUGGUGGUGGUAAUGAGCAAACCUGUCAUUUGGUAGAAUUUAUAUUUGACACUGUGUUUGCUCAUGCACGUCACCUGACAGUAGGAGAGAAUCCCGCAAACCUGGGGUGGGAACUAGGCAUGGAAAAGACAGAGACUUAAGGCAGAAUGGGGAAACUAGACAAAGGUGGAGACUUGAGACAGAGGCCGGAACUUAAAGAGUCCAACAUAAAAAGCUGCAAGGUAGAAUGCUCUGAGUUGCUGCUGGCUCAUUACAUUCUCUUUUUAGCAGCCUGCUCUGCCUUGUCUUUCCGAGUGUACUGUCUGUGCUACUGCUUAAACCUUGCUCCUACUACUGCUGUUUUCCAGCCAAACCAGCCAAGAGCUGUUUUCUAGCCAGGUCAACCCACUCCUCUCUUGGAGUACACUCUUAUGUCCUUAAUAAACCUUUUGCUUACA
rnacentral:lncRNA from 10 species